rnacentral:siRNA from 1 species
ACGGAUCAUCUAGAUCUGGGUAGC